rnacentral:tRNA from 2 species
GGAGAGAUGGCCGAGUGGUCGAAGGCGCACGCCUGGAAAGUGUGUAUACCUCAAAAGGGUAUCGUGGGUUCGAAUCCCACUCUCUCCG